rnacentral:lncRNA from 1 species
GGCGUGACCAGCAUAUUGGCAGUUUCCCCGGGCUAAUCCCGGCGAUCUGUGGUUUGUUCUUCCAGUUAACUUUGUUCCAAAGGCUCCCGGGGAGGGGGUUUGGGGGAACGGGAAAAGCAGAAGGGAGCCAGAGAAGGGGAGAGGGGAAAAAACAAAGGUCUGGAUUUGGGACCUAGAUAAGGAGAGAAAGUAAAUAACCACCGCGCCCGGCAGGAGCUCAGUGGGUCUGGGCGGCCAGGCGUUAGCUGCUUGGUUCUCGUUGGCUGUUUCGGGGAGCUUGAAGGCCACCGCACCAAGGACACACACCACACACACACACACACAACACACACACACACACACCACACAACACACACACACACACACACAGAGGCACAGGCGCGCUCUCAAUGGAUACAAAAGUCUGGACGUUCUAGGGGCGAGGAGGGAGGGAGGGAGGAAGGGAGGAAAGGAGGAAGAGAGGGAAGGAGGAAGGGGGGCGGGCGGCGGAGAGCCCGGGGCGGGGGAGAGCCGGAGCCCGAGCACAGCCGGAGCCCGAGACCGAGCCGGAGCCGGAGCCGGAGCUGGAGCCAGAGCGACUGCGCCCGUGCCGGCUCCCCUAGCCAUGCGUGCCGCGGGCCCGUGAAGGGAGCCGCUGUGCGCCGCUGGCUGCCAAGUCCUUGCCCCGCUUUUGUCUCGCCCUACAGUGAAUCGGAAGAUGGAGAUGGAUGUUAAGGGAGUUUCUCAGUGCCCGGAGCCCAUCCCCCACUCUCAGGGGGCUGGCGGAGGCUGUCAGCAGCCACCACCACCACCGCCACCGCCGCCGCCACCGCCGCCGCCGCAGGAUGAGCAGCCUGGGGAAAGUGCGGCCGCCGGGGACAGCCACCCAGAGAAGAGACCAAACAGUGAGAAAGAAGACAAAAAGGUGUUUGCCUUAAAAAAAAAAUCAGACUCCAUCCUCAUCUUAUCCCAGAAAUCAGCUGGGUUAACUCUUUAGUGGCCACUCCAUUCCUCCAAGAGACUAUCUGUCCUGUCUUUUAGAAGAGUUGGAGAAAUGGGGCCUGGGCCAAUGGGACUUUCACAGCUGGUUUUGUCUUGUGACUGCCAAGGCAAGUUAUGAAUUUGAUUUUUUUUUUGAGUGAAUUCUGGCUUCAUUAGUGAUUGGGACUUUGGGGGACUGAAUCAGAUUAUUCCACUAUGAUGAAAACCAAAUCCAAACUUUAAUAGACUUGUGUGUCUUGGCCAAAUUGUGAAGAAACACACACAUACACACAAUGGGAAGGUUUUUUUUUAAAUAUGAAAAUGGAAAAAUAUAUUCUUGGUUGAAGCUUUGUGUUUUUUUUUUUAAUAAUUACAGGAUUUCAGGUUAGAAAUAUAAGCAUCUAUACCCCUGAAGCACAAGCCCUUUAUUUGGUAGCUGCCUUUGAUCCUAAC